rnacentral:rRNA from 1 species
AUCAUUUGCACACGUGUAUACACUAACCUGCUAAUGAUAUUGUGGGCGGUGUAAGCUUGCAUUACAAUAAUAUUCCAUGUGUCCUGGGCUGUGUGACUUGUUUUACAAUCAUGCGUUAUGCAUUGCAUAAACAAGUUUGGUAAACUGAGUGGUGCUGUGUUUGUGUACGAUGAUUAUGUUUUGCAAAGAAUGUUUUAGUUCAAUAAAUGAUGAAGAAUGCAGCAAAAUGCAUUAUGCAUUGUGAAUUGCAGAAUUCCGUGAGCUAACAGAUGUUUGAAUGUUACUUGUGCCUUUGGGAUAUUCUUGGAGGUUUGCUUGGUUCAAUGCCAAGUAUCUUCCAUAUGCAAUACUGCUGUUUAGCAUUGCUGUGAACAAGGAGAGUCAAUGUGUAUUGCAUUGAACAUGGAUGUGUUGCAGCUGCUUUUGCAACCUAAGCAUGGUUGAUUGGGGGCAAACUUGUUUCGUCAUGUGCUGGUUGCUGUUUUGCAAAAUGUGCACAACUGAGACAAGCUGAAGACUUGCAUACGCUUAGCAUGAAGUGAAGCACAUACACCUGCUGAGUUUAAGCAUAUAAGUAAGUGGUGGAAAUUAAACCC